CAGUCACAGAACAUCACGAUGCUGCCGGGGAAGUUCCUCCACGCCUGCACAAGCUGCAAAAGCAGAUUUGAUUCGUUUCUCUUUUUUUAAUUUCUUUCUCCUUCCAUAAGGAAGUGACCUGGGCCAAGAGACGGCCACCGGCUGGGUUCAAAAUCUAUUUUUUGUGGGAGAAAUGAGUUCUUUUAGGAACUACGACAACCACAAAACCAGCUCCUUGCCCUUCCGCAACACGCGACGUUGCCAGCCCCUGCGCGGGGCCGCAUCCCGCCGGCGGGCCCCCAGCGGGCCCCUCGCCGGGCGGCAUCGCAGCCCCGACGGGUCAAAACCCAGACCCCAGACACGCCGAGCCGGCAGCAUCCCGGGGCCGGAGGAGCCGCCCGCCCCGUGCCGGCCGCCCCACCGCGACGGCGCAGGGGAAGGGACGGGCCGCGUCCCCGCGGCGCCCGCGCGCUUUGCGAGGGCGAAGGGUGGGAAAACAAAGCACUUUCUGGUUUCUACAAACGGAGCAAACCCGGCAACAAGUCGGGGAGGGUCGGUACUACCCGCGCGUGGCAGAGCCCCCGGCGCAGGUCGGGGCUCUCUCCUCUUCUCCCUGCGGCGAAACGACAGUCGGACUCCGUUAUUCUUCUACCUCGGGGAAGGAGUGCGGCGUUUCAGAGCAGAUUUACAACAACAGUCGCUUCUCUGCCUCAUCUAACACGUUUUCACUGAAAAGACAGAGCGGCCGAAGGCACCAGCCACACUAACAGUCGCACGUUUCUCAAACACCUCACACAUCUCUCACCUAGGAAUUUCGUCCAACAUGAAGUUAAACAUCUUCUUUAAAAAAAUAUUUCAAAAAUAUUCAGAGGACCACUUGAAAAUAGCACGUAAGCAAUAAUACGGAAGUAUUUAAAGAGUCACUUAUAUUUUUACGUGUCGUGUUGUGGCACGGAUCAAAAAUCAAAUUGCAAAUACGCUUACGGACGUUCUCCUGGCUGAAUUUAUUCUCGAUGCAGCAGCAAUAGUUUUAUAGCCAAACCCUCUCUCAAGAGCUGGCAGCUCCUGUUUCCUUUAUUGAGCCAAGAGGAGUCAGAAACCAUGCGCGUUCGUGCCACAACGCAGGGAAAAGGAUGGAGAAGGCGGCGCAGGGCUGACGCGGGCGGUGCGUUAGCACCUCGCUGCAGACCGGGCCCUCGGACCCUGCCGCGACGGCCGCACGGCGCAGACCGGGACCGAGCACGUCAGAAACGGCACGCCGAGGCUGCUCACGAUGACGAACAAGGGGGAAUCCUGUCCCUCCUCCCGCGUCCAGCACGGUGGGGCUCGGCGCCGCCCCGCCGCAGCGGCUCUUCCCACCGGCUGCGGAACGGGCUCCGUGAGCUCGCUCGCGCUCGGCAGGAUCACACGCCUACUCGAGCACACGGGCACGCUUUAGAUGGAUGGAAACGUCGGCGGGGCUGGACCGGUGCUCCUAUACCUCCUAAAUAAAAUAUUAACAAGUGAA